AUUAUCACAAAGCAGUUCAGAGAAGGUUCACGUGAUGAUUUUCUGGAUUGAAGGGUUCCCUAAGGAGAAAAGUUGAGCAAGAUCUGCACUCGCUAAUCAGAAAAUGAAAUAAAAAAGAGGUUAUUGAAAUAUGUAAAAUUCUGACUGGAAGUUGUGGCAGCAGAACUGGGCGACACAGUUUCUAAAUAAAGUGUCUCCCAUUUCAGGGUGGAGAUAAGGAAGGAUGUUUUCUAAGAAUGAUUAAUCUUUGGAAUUUCCUGUCGAGGGAGCAAUGGACGUAGAUUACUGAAGUACAUUCAAGGCUGAGUUAGAUUUUUAACCUUUUAUGGAGAACAGGCAGAAAAGUGGCGAUCAGGCUGUGGUUAAAUCAUCUUGGCCUAAAUGGCCCUGUCCUUCUCUCAAUUCUAUUCAAAGCUCCUCACUCUAUUCAUUGCUCCCUUUGUGUGCGGAAAUUCUUAUCGUACAAAACCCAGUGUCCAAUCUGUUGUGUGCCUGUGACAGAACCAGAGCUACGCAAUAACAGAAUAUUGGAUGAAGUGGUGAAAUGUUUCCGCUCUGCAAG